UGUCAGUUGGAUAAAGGUAUUAGAAUAUUUUGUACUAAUAAAAUGUACCAACCCUGUGCGGCUGCAACAGCAAUACAAACGGGUUAUCGUGCCUAUCGUAUCAAAUAACCGACAUAUGGUGGUUUUUACCUGCGGAAAAAUAAACCAAGUGAAUGUCAUGACGUCAUAAGUGUCGAAUUCCACGAAUUUUUGUCAAGACAAAGGGGGCUUUCUACACUGCAGAGAAUUGUUCAGCACUUGCACUCUAAACAGGACAUAUCAGGACAUCUUGACGGAAUAAAUCAAGUAGAAGGAUGUCAGGUAGAGCAGUCAGGCCAGACGAGGGUCUGAUGAUGAUGCAGGAGCUUGAAGACCGUCUGAAGGAGCAGAUUGAUAAACUAGAGCACGUCCGCCUCUCUGCUACUGAGCUCAAAGACAACCUUUCUGGGAUCAAUGGUGAUCUGAACCAAUCUAUUGCUGACCAUCUGGACUGGCUGGGUCAGCUGUCAGAGCGAGUGGAGACCCUUCAGAUGAACACAUCCGUCUUUGUUCAGAUGAACCCGAAGCCUCGUACCUGGGGAGUGAAGCAGGGCUCCAGGCGCGCUCCACGCUGGGGCCGACUCCACAGUCUGGCUGAUGAUGCCCAGUCUGAGUAUGGCUGGUCCCCUAUCCGCACGCGACGCAACAGCGACGCUGCCUCCGAGAUGUCCUGUGCCUGGUGACCUGGUAGCUCAGAUGGAUCAGUUGGUUGGACUUGGAUCAGGGUGCUGGCAAUACCAGGGUUGUGUGUUUGAAUUGCGUGGGACACGUACUACACUGACUGUGUUAACUGCAAGUUGCUUUGGAUAAAUUAGUCUGCUAAAUGACCAUACUAAAAGACAUGAUUACAACAAACUAACUAAGCUGCAGACAAACAUACAUUUUAUAUUAUUUCAAUGCCACAAUAUUAGUCGCUAUCCACUCACAUUGCUGUAAUUGUAUCGAAUAGUUGAACAUUUCACUGCAGUGUAUUAUUUGAGAAAUUGACUUGUAUUAUGCAAUAUAGUUAUUGUUUGUAUUUUGUGUUCUUCUGUGGUGCUUUUCUGUCUCUUGUAAAAUGUUUGUUGAUAUUACUCAAUGUUGCUAUUAUUCAAAGUUAUUUGAUUUUGUUUUGGUCUUCUCAUUGUUGUGAUCUUGUGCAGCUGCCAGCUAUAACCAAUGAUGAAGCCACAACGCCUCCAUCUUGGCACUCUCCCUAGCAUUGUACAUUUCUUUUUAGUGGAAGCUAUAGAAAUGCAUUUAUUAAUGUCUACAUUCAUUUUUGCCACAUUUAUUCUAUUACAGACACAUGAAUGCAUACUUUAAAAUUAGAUUAUGUGAGCUAAUCAUUUAAAACAAAUAUUUUAACAUUUUCCCAAUAGCUAAUAGUAUAAUUUUUUUUAGCUUACUAAUGAUACUGUCCCUACUACAACAACAAAAAUACUUAUACCGAACCAAAAUAUAAACGCAACAUGCAACAAUUUCAAAACAUGUAGAUCAUAUAAGGAAAUCAGUCAAUAUAAAUAAAUAAAUAAUUUGGGCCCUAAUCUAUGUAUUUCACGACUGGGAAUACAAAUAUGCAUCUGUUGGUCGCAGAUACCUUUAAAAAAAAACUAAAGGAAAGGAUCAGAUAAUCAGUAGACCAGAUAAUCAGUUUGUAUCUGGUGUGACCACCAUUUGUCUCAUGCAACGUGACACAUCUCUUUUGCAUAGAGUUGAUCAGGCUGUUGAUUAUGGCCUGUGUAAUGUUGUCCCACUCUUCAAUGGCUGUGCGAAGUUGCUGGAUAUUGGCAGGAACUAGAACACGCUGUCGUAUACAUCGAUCCAUAGCAUUCCAAACAUGGGCAAUGGGUGACAUGUCUGGGUAGUAUGCAGGCCAUGGAAGAACUAGGACAUUUCCAGCCUCCAGUGAUGUAAAGUACCAUAGUAAAAAUACUUUAAAGUACUACUUAAGUAGUUUUUUUGGUGUAUCUGUAAUUUACAAAAAGAAUUAUGUUAAAAAACAACAACUUUUACUUCACUACAUUCCUAAAGAAAAUAAUGUACUUUUUACUCCAUAUAUUUUCCCUGACACCCAAAAGUACUUGUUACAUUUUGACAGGAAAAUGGUCCAAUUCACACACUUAUCAAGAGAACAUCCUUGGUCAUCCCUACUGCCUCUGAUCAGGCGGACUCACUAAACACAAAUGUUUGUAAAUUAUGUCUUUAGUGUUGAAGUGUGCCCCUGGCUAUCCGCUAAUUAAUAAAAAAUAAAUACAA
ensembl:lncRNA